rnacentral:lncRNA from 1 species
GUGUUUAAUAUUCUUAAAUUGAAAAAAAAUAUACUAAAAAGAUAAAAUUACAAUUGCCAUCACAUGACAAAACCUUUUGUCAGUACAUUGAAAGUCAGAAGUAUUACAUGAAGUACAUUUCCAGUAGUUUACACUUCAGUUUACAUUUGUUAAAAAAGUAGCAGCCCAUAUUUUCCUUCUAUUUACAAUAAUUUAAAUAUUGUAUUCCACUUUACUGAUACAAAUAAAAUUAUUCUGCAAAGAUUUAUUGUUUUACUUGAAGAUGAUUUUGUUACCAAUGGGAAAAAAAAAACAAACUCAGGAAGAGAUCAGGGAAUGCUGCUUGAAAGAAUCCCUUAGACUGCAAUCUGAUGGUGCCCACUCCAGUAACUGAGGAGUAGUUUGAUGACUUUGCAGAACUUUAAAAUAAAAUAAAAUUAAAUUAAGCAGGUUCUCCAUUAAAUAACAGCAGCUCCUCUGCUUACAGAAAUGGUGACUGAAGAGAGGGCUGGCAGGGAUUUGUCUGCACAGCAACUAAAAAGGUUGCCUCCAAAAGAAAGUAUAAGAUACUUUCUUUCAAUAAACUAGUAAUAAUAAACUGCUGCAUGUAUUAAGUGCUUCAAAAAAAAAAUCAGUUUCACAAAGUGUUACGAGUCUCAACUGCAUUGUUUUUACAGGAAGAACAGGUUUAAGAAGUAAAACGUUACGGAGACUACCCAAGUAUCUCGCUUUACCAGCAGGAAGCUUUCAGUGCUACCAGGGAGAGCCUGCCUGUACCUACCUUUUAAAUAACAGCACCAUAAAUAUACAGACGUGGUAACAGACAGUCCUCCCGCCUAAAUCUGCUGGUUCAGGAAGGUAGUCCAUGCAUCGCUGAGGACGAGCUCCUGUGGAGUCACCGAGCUUAUCCUCCGCUAGCUUUGGCUGACUCAGUGCAGCCUGCAUCACAGGGUCUGGCCUCCAGCUCUGAUCCUUCACACCAAAAUAGGGUAAGUUUAAAGCCAGCGGCCCCGCUAUUCACAUUUCCAUUUCUUUAUCAAACAUGCAGGUGCAAUACAAGGUGCAAGGAGAGAUUCACUUCUGGUCUGAUUUUCUACAACAAUGUAGCUCCUAAAAAUAACUCAAUAAAUACAAAAAUAACACUGACGGGUGGCUGAAAUAGAUGCAAAAUGCUACAGUAAACAAAGCCUGAGGACUUCACUUCUUCCAGCCCAGGCAG